ensembl:lncRNA
GAUGGAAUGGGUAUGCUGUAUGUCUGGCAGGACAGUGGGACAUGUAUAGUGACUUCAGAAAGAAUUCAGACCCCUUGACUUUUUCCACAUUUUGUUACGUUACAGCCUUAUUCUAAAAUGGAUUCAAUACAAAUAUACACACAAUAUAUAUACACAAGUAUGUGGACACCCUUUCAAAUUAGUGGAUUCUAUUUCAGCCACACUUGUCACUGACAGGUGUAUACAAUCGAGCACACAGCCAUGGAAUCUUCAUAGACAAACAUUGGCAGUAGAAUGGCCUUAUUGAAGAGCUCAAUGACUUUCAAUGUGGCACCGUCAAAGGAAACCACCUUUCCAACAAGUCAGUUCGUCAAAUGUCUGCCCUGUUAGAGCUGCUCCGGUCCACUAUAAGUAGUAUUAUUGUGAAGUGGAAAAGUUUAGGAGCAACAACGGCACAGCUGCAAAGUGAUAGGCCACACAAGCUCACAGAACGGGGCCGAGCGCUGAAGCGCAUAAUGCGUAACAAUUGUCUGUCCUCGGUUACAGCACACACACAAUGGGUUUCCAUGGCUGAGCAGCAGCACACAAGCCUUAGAUCACCAUGAGCAAUACCAAGUGUCAGCUGCAGUGGUGUAAAGCUCACCACCAUUGGCCUCUGGAGCAGUGGAAACGUGUUCUCUGGAGUCAUGAAUAACGCUUCACCAUUUGGUGAAUCUGAAUCUGUGUUUGGGGUGUGCCAGGAGAACACCACCUGCCUGAAUGCACAGUGCCAACUGUAAAGUUCGGUGGAAGAGGAAUAAUGGACUGGGGCUGUUUUUUAUGGUUCGGGCUAGUUCCUGUGAAGGGAAAUCUUGACAUUGACAUUCAAGACGAUUCUGUGUUUCCAACUUUGUGGCAACAGGUUGGAGAAGGCCCUUUCAUGUUUCAGCAUGGCAAUGCCCUCAUCCACAAAGUGAGGUCCAUACAGAAAUGGUUUGUCGAGAUCAAUGUGGAAGAACUUGACUGGCCUUCAUAGAGCCCUGACCUCAACCCCAUCGAACACCUUGGGAUGAAUUGGAAAGGCGAAUGCGAGCCAGGUCUAAUCACCCAACAUCAGUGCCUGUCCGCAAUAAUGCUCUUGUGGCUGAAUGGAAGCAAGUCCCAGCAGCAAUGUACCAACAUCUAGUAGAAAGCCUUCCCAGAAGAGUGGAGGCUGUUAUAACAGCAAUGUACCAACAUCUAGCAGAAAGCCUUCCCAGAAGAGUGGAGGCUGUUAUAGCAGCAAAGGGGGGACAAACUCCAUAUUAAUGCCUAUGAGUUUGGAAUGAGAUGUUCGAUGAGCAGGUGUCCACAUACUUUUGGUCAUGUAGUUUAUCUGUGUGUGUUCAUCUACAUUAAUUAAUAUUAUAUAUACACAAUAUCAGCACAUACAGAACAUCACACAGAAGACCCUGAUAUCAUGGAGACGCUCAAUGGACUGAGAGAUGGAGGGAGGGAUGUAUGGAAUGAUGGCAGUAUGGUGGGAUAGACAGAAUGAUGGCAGGAUGUAUGGAAUGAUGGCAGUAUGGUGGGAGGGAUGUAUGGAAUGAUGGCAGUAUGGUGGGAUGGACAGAAUGAUGGCAGUAUGGUGGGAUGGACAGAUGGAGGGAGGGAUGUAUGGAAUGAUGGCAGUAUGGUGGGAUGGACAGAUGGAGGGAGGGAUGUAUGGAAUGAUGGCAGUAUGGUGGGAUGGACAGAUGGAGGGAGGAGAGUUUGAGGCUUCCAUUCCAUGAGAAAGGUAGAAUAUUGUUUGUACUGAAGGAAUGGAAGGAUACAGAGAAAGAGGAGGAAGAGAAUGAAGAGGAGGAGGAGAGAGGGCAGGAAGUCACAGGCAUGCGUAGGACAGAUCCUUAAACACAGACCAACCCACACACACACAAACACUCCUCCCCUUCCUCAUCACCCGUCUCCCCCUAAACACUAGUACUAUAAUACAGACAGCUACACCAAACACACACCUCUUCAGAAACCUAACCUAGCCUGGCUUGUGAAGAUCUUCAAUAACAGGAUGAGGGAGAUAAGAUGGAGAGAAAGAGAGACAGAAAGAGAAACAAAUGGAAAUGAUCCCCUUCCCCCCCAUUCUAACCUUAACCAUUAGUGAGGAGACCUGACCCUAGUUCAGCAUCUAGGGGGCAACUUCACCAUCCACCCACUGCAUGGCAUGUAGGCAAAGGUUCUACCUUUUGAACUGUUCUAUUGGCCAUGAGGUGUAAGCUCCGCCUACACAGCUCUGUGUGAAUUACAUCAGGUACCUGUUGUUAAUGGAGGUGGUUGAUAUGAAGGAGAGAGGCAAUACAAACAACGUGAUUGGAUGAUGUAGAGAAGGAGGUCUGGUUAACAACCUAUCAGAAGACAGGAUGACCAAUAGAAAAUAAAUUAGCAAUCAAAUAAAAACAACAGUCACAGAGAGAGAAACAACAGCUUGGUCCUGAAAGAAACGGGCAACUUUUACUGCAGACAAACUGAAGCUUUAAAAACCCUGUUAAAAUUAUAACACAUCUCCUGGUCGCUGUGUCUGUCUGGAGCUCAGAGGACUGACUGGGUUAAGGUAGAGUGGAGUGGAUCAGUCCACUCUAGACUAAAGAGAGGGGUGGUCCAUAUCCUUAACAGACUACACCAAUCUGGGGGGGCAGAGAAGCUGGUGUUGACAGAGCAAGAGGAGAAGGAGGGUAGAAUCAGCUGGUGUCGGUCGGUUUACAGUUCUGAUC